rnacentral:rRNA from 1 species
ACGUGAGUAACCUGCCCCUGACUUUGGGAUAACUCCGGGAAACCGGGGCUAAUACCGGAUAUGAGCUCCUGCCGCAUGGUGGGGGUUGGAAAGAUUUAUCGGUUGGGGAUGGGCUCGCGGCCUAUCAGCUUGUUGGUGGGGUGAUGGCCUACCAAGGCGACGACGGGUAGCCGGCCUGAGAGGGCGACCGGCCACACUGGGACUGAGACACGGCCCAGACUCCUACGGGAGGCAGCAGUGGGGAAUAUUGCGCAAUGGGGGAAACCCUGACGCAGCCAUGCCGCGUGUGUGAAGAAGGCC